AACGUCCGUAGAUCGUGAACGUCUUCUGAGGGGUUUUCGUCUCGUGUGAGGGUUUUGUCGAGUUGGAGAAGCCGCUGCAUGUUUUCAUGCGUCAAGAACGAAAGUUGGGGGCCCGAAGAGGACCAGAUACCAUCGUAGUCUCAACCACGAACUGUGCUGACCAGAGGUAGGAACACGUCCGGCUUAACUUCUCCUGCCUCUUAGGAGAAAUCAGAGUCUUGGGGUU
rnacentral:ncRNA from 1 species